rnacentral:misc_RNA from 1 species
GGAAAGGCAAGCUCUUGGCC